GGGCUCGUGGUCUAGGGGUCAUGACGUCGCCUUCACACGGCGAAGAUCGCAGGUUCAAUUCCUGCCGAGCCCA
rnacentral:tRNA from 2 species